AGAUGUCGCUUCCGUAGUUAGUGAAAAGAUCGCGAAAGUGCAAGUCGGAAUUUGCAAGCCCGAGUGUGAUUUAAUUGAAAAAAAGAGAUAUAAAGCAUAUAAAAAACAGAUGCCAAACAUUGUACAGAUUUACGUGUGAUGGGACUACGAAAAAAGUUUAUUCGGUUUAAAGAACAUGCGCC
rnacentral:sRNA from 1 species